rnacentral:piRNA from 1 species
UGAGCAGUGUAGGCUCUGGUUGGUUAGU